GAUGAACGCUGGCGGCGUGCCUAAUACAUGCAAGUCGAACGGACGAGAGCAAUCUCGUUAGUGGCGAACGGGUGAGUAACGCGUUGGUGACCUGCCCCGAAGCGUGGGAUACCAGGCCGAAAGGCUUGCUAAUACCGCAUGCACUGUGAGGGAUUAGAAGCUUCACAGGAAAGGAGAAAUCCACUUUGGGCGGGGCCUGCGACCCAUCAGCUGGUUGGUAGGGUAACGGCUUACCAAGGCGAUGACGGGUAGGGGACCUGAGAGGGUGGCCCCCCACAAUGGAACUGAAACACGGUCCAUACACCUACGAGUGGCAGCAGUAGGGAAUAUUGCUUAAUGGGCGCAAGCCUGAAGCAGCAACGCCGCGUGUGCGAUGAAGGCCUUCGGGUUGUAAAGCACUUUUCACCGGGAAGAGGAAGGACGGUACCGGUGGAAUAAGCCUCGGCUAACUACGUGCCAGCCGCCGCAGUAACAC
rnacentral:rRNA from 1 species